UACGAGGGGGGCGAGCGUUGUUCGGAAUUAUUGGGCGUAAAGGGUGCGUAGGCGGUUCCGCAAGUCCUGUGUGAAAUCUUCGGGCUCAACUCGAAGUCUGCACGGGAAACUGCGGGGCUUGAGUGUGGGAGAGGUGAGUGGAAUUUCCGGUGUAGCGGUGAAAUGCGUAGAUAUCGGGAGGAACACCUGUGGCGAAAGCGGCUCACUGGACCAUAACUGACGCUGAUGCACGAAAGCUGGGGGAGCAAACAGG
rnacentral:rRNA from 1 species